GUUCCCAUUUUAGUGCCAGCCGCUGAUUACCUCAUACCACCACCACCACCACAACCACCGCCACCCCUGAAAUUAAAUUUGCUUCCGACUCACUUUCGAAUGCUCCCAGGGCACACUCUCUCCUGCUUUCAAAGAAAAUGAAUUUGGGUCAAAGAUUAUUACAGGUUAAUGCAAGAACUAUCUCCAAUUUUUAUUAUCAUCAAUCAUUUCUUCAGCAUAAUUGUUAUGAAAUAUUUUUGAGAUAUUAUUAUUAUGGUUCUGGUGGUCAUAAUAAUCGAGUUACACAACUUGAGAAUUUUAUGAUGGAUGAGUGUAAAUCUGGUAAGAUUAAGAAGCUUGAUGAUGGUUUGAAAUACUUUGAUUAGUUGAUUCUGGAAAGGCCAUUACCAUCGAAUGGCACAUUCUGUCAUGUAUUAAGUUCAUUGUAGAAGAUUAGGUGUUAUUCAGAUGUCAUUAUGUUGUAUAAGAAGAUGAAUUUGCUUGGAGUAAAACCCGAUAUUUCCACAUUCAACAUUUUGAUUAACUGUUGUUGUAAACUAGUCCAAGUGAAUCACGGGUUCUGUUUGCUUGGAGAGAUUAUUAAGAGAGGUCAUCAGCCUAAUGUUAUCACUUUCACUACAUUGAUUAAUGGGUUGUGUGUUCAAGAAAAGAUUGACUUUGCAUUCAAGGUGUUCGAGAAAAUGAUCGAGACAGGUGUUCUACCUAACUCCUUCACAUGUAAUACUCUAUACACGGGCUUUGCAGAACUGGUAAAGUGGAUCUUGCUCUUCACCUAAAAAACAAGAUGGUGAAAUGGAACUGCAGACCUAAUGCUGUUUCAUAUUGUGUGAUUAUAGAUACUCUUUGUAAAGGAGGUUUAGUUGAUAAAGCUUUAGUUCUUUACUUCUUUUCUCUGAAAUGCGUAGAGAUUUAGAUGUUGUUCCUAACGUAGUUGUUUACAUUUCUUUGAUCAAUGGGCUUUCUAGUUCAGGUCGCUUGAAUGAGGCCAAGAGAUUCCUUGAAGAGAUGGGCAAUAGAGUAAUCUCUGCAGAUGUAAAGACUUAUAAUACUAUCAUUCAUGGUUACUGCUUACAUGGUCAAUGGAAAGAAGCGAGAAGAUAUUUUGAUCAAAUGAUGUAGGGAUUAUAUGGCUAAGGGUUUGAACAAUAUCCAUAUAAUCUGAAGAAUAAAGAUAGAUGAACAUGUCUUGGCCAUGGGUUGCAGCGUUAAGUAGUUAAUCUUUUUAAAAAAUGACAGCGGAAGAUAAACGACUUGAUUCAAUGGCAGACUGCAAAUUUCAGGGCACUGAAAUCAACUUAAAAAUGGGGUACAGCGAAGAGGGCGGAGAGGGAGCUUUAUCUGGUAGAAAUGAUCAGGAAAUUGUCACAUGCUGUUUUUCCUGGUCGAACAAGGUUGGAUGUCAACUAUGGUGUACGAGCAAUGAUGUUGGUGGUGAUGAAAGUGAAAUCUCUACUACAAUGUUCAUGUCUAGACACACUUCAUUUUCCAACCCAGCUAUGCCAGUAAAGCCUGAUCGCAGUACAAUGACAUUCAGGAUUGUUUGAAUCACAAUAAAGUGUCUCUACUGGGUGUGGAGGAAGGUGAGAAUCUGACAAGUUUGAUUGAAGUAGCUGGAAUCUCAAAUGAUAAUUGGAAGUACCAGAUCCAGAAGAGUUGCACUACACUCAGUUCUUCGAUUUUUUGUGGAUAAAAAGCACAGUUCAAUUGUUUUCAUGAUGACGAGGCAUAUAUAAGGGCAUCCACAAUCAGUGAGAGAACAAAAUUGCAGUUAAUUCUGUACCAAGUGAUGCUGUUCAGUUGGAUUCUUCUCCUAAAAUCUCAAAGUCUCACAAUCCCUCAAAGGGAGAUACACUUAAGGAAUAUGGCCUUCCAUGUGAAGUGUGUUAGUAGAAACACAUGUGCUCAAGCUAAGGAUACAAAUGCCCUUGGUCUGUUGUCAUUUCUAUAGCCGUGACGGGGGUUGAGAAAGAGGUGCAGCGAGAAAGUUGUCAGCGUCACCAACUUAAGUGGCACUUUAGCAUUAGUGAUGAGGUACUGUCAAUGAUGAAAAUGCUUUUUUUUGGUCUCCUCGGAUGCUGCUUCAGCUAAAGUACCAGUUUUGUUGGAGGUUUCUCCAUGGGUAGCUCAAUUGCACUCAAAUUUUCGCUGGUUGGGAAUUACAAGCCUGUGAUAAAUUUCGCUCAAGGCUUUAACUUUCAUAAGUGUGUCUAUUUAAGUCGUCCGAGAAACACUGUGGCAGACCUCCUUGGAUUGUAUACGAUGUUUUUGACAAAGAGGUGGAUAAAUCGAAUGGGCAUUUACUAAAGAGUUAUCCAGGAUAGCAACAGAGGCAGUUGGGUUUAUCUACCAAAUCUGGUUGACUAAAGGAGUCUGACAAAGAGCAAAUGAAGUUCCGGAUCCAGAUUCCAGUCUUUAAACGCAGAUAUAAAAAUUCACCUGACAAGCCUAAUUCUAGUUCUAAGGGAAUUGAAGACGACAUUCAGGAGAUUGGAAACAAAUGCAGAAGGAGAUGGGAAAUCUGGAUUCUGGAGGUUGUGAAGAGUACAGAAGGAGAUAAUAACGUUGUUGUUCCAUCAGUAUAGAGCAAACAGUGGAGCUCGUUGUGAACCUUUGUUUCAGCUAUAGUUCCAUCAGUAUAGAGCAACAAAUGAAGCUGAAGGAACAGCUAAAGAAAUUGGUACUUGGGGUAUAAGGAUAGAUUCAAGGUGCAGAACAUAUCUGAAGAGUCUGAACAGGUUCAUCAGAUAGAUGCAGGUGCAGUUGGCGAGAAUGUAGAGAAGGUUAGCACAAUAGAAAUAUGCAAUCUGAAGUUGUUAACAGAUUUUGUAAAUUUUGUUGAUACUGCUCUUCAAAACUUGGUUGCUGCAUAAAGAUGUGUUAUUUGUCUUGGGGGUCAAAUCCCCAUCACCUGAUACAUGGUUGUUUAAGGCGGUUAGGCUUGCAAGUGGUGCCAGGCCCAUCUAGCUAGGUCGGGCCAGAGGGUCAGGCCUAGCUUUGCCAGAACAUCAUAAACUUAAUAAUUUAUGCAUGUGGUACAGCUUAUUAUGCACACUCCGCCCAGUGAACCUCAUGUUCCAAGCCAUACAUUAAAUGCUA